rnacentral:ncRNA from 2 species
UUUGCCAAGUCAGGAGAGAGUUGAUGUAACAAGCGUCAACCGCCGAAGGCGCAGCGCAGCUGAUUGCAGCUGUUUGAACGCUCAGGCAAAAGGACUGACAAACGUUU